GAAAAAAUCUCUGUGUAGUGAUAUUAGACAUGUUUCUAUUUUUAGCAAAUGACUGAACUUAAUUAUUUGUGGUGAUUAGGAAAGUAGAGGAACAUAGAAUAAAUGUGUAAAAACUAUGGAGCUAUUGAAUGUGUUCAAAGUAUUAAAUUUUCAAAGAACUUAUUGUGUUAAAAAGGGGAUAUUUUACCACAAGGAGCCGCAUCACAACAGGAUGUUCGGGGUUUGCUAAUUUACGGAAAAAGUAAUCUCACUUCGUACCCCGAAAAUUUAACCACAUAUGUGAAAAUGUCACAGCUUCGAAACAAGCUAUCAUACAUAUCCAAGUUAACGACAUGGACUGAGCUACCGGAAAAAACGUUACCAUUACCGCCUAUGUAAAAACAAUUAAAGAUUUUGACCCAAAUUAGAAGCUCCAUUCCAGAGGUUGUCAGACUGAUUUAUGGAUGAUUUCACCUUGUACACCACCGAAAAUGAUGUUCCAGACAUAUCAUUAUUUUUCAACCUGAGAUGGCAAACUAGAGGUUUUAAAAAGUCCUGAAUAACUGAAAUGGACAAAAAUACAAAGAUUUAUUCAGAAUAUAAUACCGAUGAAGAUCACAUACAAAUAUUUGAAAAAAUCAGAAGUAUGGAUUACAAUAUGGGACAACAUCCCUAAUGCGCCUUGAAAUGAGGAACUCAAAAGUCACGUGUAAAGAAAAAAUCUCUGUGUAGUGAUAUUAGACAUGUUUCUAUUUUUAGCAAAUGACUGAACUUAAUUAUUUGUGGUGAUUAGGAAAGUAGAGGAACAUAGAAUAAAUGUGUAAAAACUAUGGAGCUAUUGAAUGUGUUCAAAGUAUUAAAUUUUCAAAGAACUUAUUGUGUUAAAAAGGGGAUAUUUUACCACAAGGAGCCGCAUCACAACAGGAUGUUCGGGGUUUGCUAAUUUACGGAAAAAGUAAUCUCACUUCGUACCCCGAAAAUUUAACCACAUAUGUGAAAAUGUCACAGCUUCGAAACAAGCUAUCAUACAUAUCCAAGUUAACGACAUGGACUGAGCUACCGGAAAAAAACGUUACCAUUACCGCCUAUGUAAAAACAAUUAAAGAUUUUGACCCAAAUUAGAAGCUCCAUUCCAGAGGUUGUCAGACUGAUUUAUGGAUGAUUUCACCUUGUACACCACCGAAAAUGAUGUUCCAGACAUAUCAUUAUUUUUCAACCUGAGAUGGCAAACUAGAGGUUUUAAAAAGUCCUGAAUAACUGAAAUGGACAAAAAUACAAAGAUUUAUUCAGAAUAUAAUACCGAUGAAGAUCACAUACAAAUAUUUGAAAAAAUCAGAAGUAUGGAUUACAAUAUGGGACAACAUCCCUAAUGCGCCUUGAAAUGAGGAACUCAAAAGUCACGUGUAAAGAAAAAAUCUCUGUGUAGUGAUAUUAGACAUGUUUCUAUUUUUAGCAAAUGACUGAACUUAAUUAUUUGUGGUGAUUAGGAAAGUAGAGGAACAUAGAAUAAAUGUGUAAAAACUAUGGAGCUAUUGAAUGUGUUCAAAGUAUUAAAUUUUCAAAGAACUUAUUGUGUUAAAAAGGGGAUAUUUUACCACAAGGAGCCGCAUCACAACAGGAUGUUCGGGGUUUGCUAAUUUACGGAAAAAGUAAUCUCACUUCGUACCCCGAAAAUUUAACCACAUAUGUGAAAAUGUCACAGCUUCGAAACAAGCUAUCAUACAUAUCCAAGUUAACGACAUGGACUGAGCUACCGGAAAAAACGUUACCAUUACCGCCUAUGUAAAAACAAUUAAAGAUUUUGACCCAAAUUAGAAGCUCCAUUCCAGAGGUUGUCAGACUGAUUUAUGGAUGAUUUCACCUUGUACACCACCGAAA